AGCCACAUCAUGUUAAAACACCAAUUCCUAUAUGGUCCCUGAAGUUAAGCAACAUUAAGCCUGGUCAGUACCUAGAUGGGUGACCACUUGGGAUAACAGUUGCUGUAAG